UGACUCCUCGGCUCACCGACCCCGCAUCAUGGAUGAGCAGGGAAGAGGAAAAAAACCCCUACAACUAGAUUUCAUAUAUGUCAGAAAAAGGAUAGGAUAUAUGUUUUUUCUCUAGAUUAUACAUUAAAGGUAACACAAACAAGAAUUUCUUGGUUAUAGAUCAAACAAGUUCAGGGAUGCUGACGUUAUCUAUGUGUGGAGGGAGGCAAGGACCAGGGUCAUUAUUUGUUCCUUCAAUCUCCAAGAAAUGCAGCUGUGGAUGUAGGAGCUAGGUGCCCUUUUUCUUUUCCCGUUGCCGAUUUCUCCGGCUGGCGUCUUCGUCAUGAGAUGAGGGACUGCAAGGUCACUCUGACCCAGGCUGAAUGCGGCCUGCACGCCUGCUGCACAGGACAGCAUGGAUUUGAUCGUACUCACGUAAACCCGUGCAGUUUGCUUGCUGGAUUCACCUGUUAGACCAGGGAGAGGGAUCCCAAAAAUCUGUCCACACUUACUUAGUGAAACCUUUUCAAAAGAGCAUUGUAUCCUGGAUAAUGUAAUUUUGUAUGGAAACAGAGGUCUGCCUGUCAGUUUUGUAAUUGACAUCUAGUUGAAAAUUGAGUGCAGAUAAAGUGUUUUAAAACUUUCUGGGGUAUCUGAUUGGUUUCCUCUCCUUGGGCAGUUCUUAGCUAACAAUUCCUUUCCCUAGCAGCCCCAAACCUACAAAGCAGAAGCUCAGACUCUCCAGACUUGGGCAGAAAGCCUCAGGAAGAGAGCCCACAGGGUGAUCAACUGGUCCCAGUUUGCCUGGGACCUAAGGAUGUUCUAUGCACUGUUUAUAGAGAAGCACAUUCUGUGACUGACCACCACACCGGUGUGAAGAUGUAUCCUGUUGUCACUUAAACUUCAUCUCUGAGCCUGUGCCACCAGGAAGGCAGGAAACUCAAGCUCAGUCAGUAUGGGGGCCCUUCCCCCUCCAGGGCUGCCCCAGAAUGAGGGAGGUCCAGUGGUACCCAGAACACAGGGAAAGGGAAGUGUCUCCACUUUCAGUCCCAGCCGGCAGAUCCCCUGAAGCAGGUCCUAAGUCAUCUGCUUGAGCCUGAGGCGGAGGGAGGGCCAGGUUUACUCAGGUGGACAGUCCCAGGACUUUCUGCCCAGCCCUCACGGUCCCACCACCCAGCCCUUCUCUUCUGAAAUCAAAGAAUAACAAGAAGAUUGCGUAGCUGGAGCAGGAGCCCCAGGGAGACCAGGCCAGGGGAGUCAGACAUGGAGGAGCCUCUUUCUAGCGAGGACCUCAGCUGGUUGGACUUCUUUACCUAGUAGUGUGACCCAAGCAUUUAUUCCCAAAGGAUCUGAAUCCUCAGUCUCUGAUGAUCCAGCCAAGCCAUUAGCAACUGUCUGUGAAUCGAUGUAGAGCCGUACUUCUGGCCAUCUUUCAGUUCAGGCAAAGUGGACAACAACCAAAUGUAGUGUUUAAAGUAAUGACCACUGGGAGGAUUUUCCUUCGUCACUGGCCUUUGGGGCCACCCCUGAGUAGGACUGUGGUGCUGAGGCCACCCACUCCUGGACCAUCUGUAAGCCAGGAUCAAGGUUUUUCCUCCUCAAUCAACUAGUCACAAAGAUCUCCCUAUGCAGUCACAGGUUUGGACGA